GCCCUGGAGCGGCGUACGGCCAAGUACAUAGACCCAUUAUACACCAAAUUGGUGUGAUGCGAAUGGGUCAGACGCUGGUUGGCUGAACUGGUGUUUAAUUUUCCGUGUCAACCCCAGGUAUUACGUGUGAAAGAGGUUCGGGGGUACACAACCGUCUGUGGAGACUCCAGCCUGCAUCUGAAGAUCUUGGCCUACACAUGAAUCCGACAUCCAGGAGCCCUACCUGAACCCAGACAGCCCGGACCUCAGACACCUGUGGAACUCUGUCGUCGUUGUGGCAGAAGCUCAUGAGACAGACUGCAGUCCCCUCCCUGGGUAAGGACACACCUGUUGCACAGAGACAGGGUUCCAGCUAAGUUCUGGAUGGUGGUGCGUGUGCUCAUAUGUGAGUGUGUUAGUGUCUGUGGUUGCUGGGUUUGUGGGAUUGUGCUUGCUUGUGUGUAUAUUUAUGUGUGUGUGUGUGUGUGUG